AAUCAACGCUGGCGGCGUGCCUCAGACAUGCAAGUCGAACGAUUAAAGCUCCCUUCGGGGAGUGCAUAGAGUGGCGCACGGGUGAGUAACACGUAAGUAAUCUACCUUCGAGUGGGGAAUAACGUCCGGAAACGGACGCUAAUACCGCAUAAUGCAGCGGCAUCGCAAGAUGACAGUUGUUAAAGAUUUAUCGCUUGAAGAGGAGCUUGCGGCAGAUUAGCUAGUUGGUAAGGUAAUGGCUUACCAAGGCUACGAUCUGUAACCGGUCUUAGAGGACGGUCGGUCACACUGACACUGAAUAACGGGUCAGACUCCUACGGGAGGCAGCAGUCGGGAAUUUUGGGCAAUGGGCGAAAGCCUGACCCAGCAACGCCGCGUGAAGGAUGAAGUAUUUCGGUAUGUAAACUUCGAAAGAAUGGGAAGAAUCAAUGACGGUACCAUUUAUAAGGUCCGGCUAACUUCGUGCCAGCAGCCGCGGUAA
rnacentral:rRNA from 1 species